AGCAGCCGCGGUAAUUCCAGCUCCAAUAGCGUAUAUUAAAGUUGUUGCAGUUAAAAAGCUCGUAGUUGAAUUUCGGGGUUAGUAGGUUGGUCAUGCCUCCGGUAUGUACUGGCCUCACUGAUUCCUCCUUCCUGAUGAACCGUAAUGCCAUUAAUUUGGUGUUGCGGGGAAUUUGGACUGUUACUUUGAAAAAAUUAGAGUGUUUAAAGCAAGCUAACGCUCGAAUACAUUAGCAUGGAAUAAUGAAAUAGGACGUUCGAUCCUAUUUUGUUGGUUUCUAGGAUUGACGUAAUGAUUAAUAGGGAUAGUUGGGGGCAUUAGUAUUCAAUUGUCAGAGGUGAAAUUCUUGGAUUUAUUGAAGACUAACUACUGCGAAAGCAUUUGCCAAGGAUGUUUUCAUUAAUCAAGAACGAAAGUUAGGGGAUCGAAGACGAUCAGAUACCGUCGUAGUCUUAACCAUAAACUAUGCCGACUAGGGAUCGGAUGAUGUUAAUUUUUUAAUGACUCAUUCGGCGCCUUACG
rnacentral:rRNA from 1 species